UAGGGAAUCUUCCACAAUGGGCGGCAAGCCUGAUGGAGCAACGCCGCGUGAGUGAAGAAGGUCUUCGGAUCGUAAAACUCUGUUGUAAGAGAAGAACGUGUGUGAGAGUGGAAAGUUCACACAGUGACGGUAACUUACCAGAAAGGGACGGCUAACUACGUGCCAG
rnacentral:rRNA from 1 species